rnacentral:lncRNA from 1 species
AUUUAACUAUAUUUGUGUGUACUUUAUUGUAUGUGUUUAUCAUAAAUUUUAUAUGUAUGUCAUCCAUACAAGUUGAUGAAGAUGUCAAAAUAUAUAUUAAGUAUUUAUUUUAUUUUAUUUAUUAAAAUCUUUUAAUAUCUUAUUAAAUUCUGGAGGCUUUAUAGAUUGGGGAGUCCCAGUAUGGCAUAUCCAGUGCACCCUCAUUUAAAUGGUUUGUGUGUGUAAAAUAUUAAUAGACAAGUGUCAAAAGCAAGAGCUUGGGAGCAAGGUGGCUGGCUGUCUGUGAAAAAGACGAUUUUGAAAGGAAUUUUCAUUUGAACUUGUGAAAAAUGACAUUGUGGAAAUAUUGUCUGGAUGGAAGAUAAUAUGCAAAUGAGUAGUAAUGGGUAUGUUGAUAAAGAAGAGAACAAAAAAAAGAUUUGUCAAGAAUUCAAGUAUAUGAAUGACAGGAUGAAACUAGGACUAAAGUGGAUGUUAUGGUUUUUGUACAGUUCAUUCAAAAAUGUUUGUCACCUAAGCGGAAGAUGUUCAACUUCCUUACAAUACUUACAAACCAAUGAGAUUAAUCAGUACAGG